AUUACUGUCAUUGUUGCCACCACAAGCACCAGCACUACUAAGCCUAGCAUUGCUGCACAAUUUUUUUAAAAGAUAAAAAAUAAAUAAUUGGAUAUUUAUUUUCUCAUUUGUUUGUGUAUUUUCCUCUAACGAGCAUUGCAAAAAAAGUAAAAAAAUGUUUAAGCAAAAUGAAGCAGAACAAAAUAAAAGGAGAGAGAGAGAGAGAUGAAGAAAAAACUGGAAAUUUCAAAAUCCAUAAAUCUAAAAUAAGUAAAUCUAAUAGGUAAACAAAUCUCAAAUCCCUCAACCAAACACUUUUUUUUUUUUAUCACCAUCUUCCCCUUUCUCCACUAAUUCUGGCGGCGACGGCGGUGACUAUGUGUGAUAGCCAAAUCUCCAAUCAACUCAAUUUUAUUGCACUUUCAGUAACUCCGGCGACGACGGUAGUGGCUAUUGUAACCUCCUUUGUUUCCUUCAAUUUUCUCUCAAUAUCUAAGAUUAAGUUUUGGAUUUGAUGGGAUUUGAAAAAGGACAAUAUUUGGAUUCUAGUGUCUUUAUAGGUUUCUUAGUUUGAGUUUUAAUUAAAAUUUAAAGGGAAGAUUUUAGAGAUGGUGAUGCUUUGUUGGCGUUGAUUUGCCAUUGAUGGCUGUGGAGCUUAGCUAUUGAAUUUGAUUGUUGAAAAUGGGGAGGAAAAAGACGUGCUUGGUUGAGAAGCAAAUGACCUUUUUGGUGGAUGUCUAGAGGUCUAGACCUAAUGUUAAAGUUUAUAUUGCAAGUGAGGGCAUUUUCGAAAUUCUAUAAUUAUUGGACGGAAAAAUUAUUGAUUUUAAAUGGAAUGACUUUUCUAUUAGCGGGAUUAAAAUUUAAAGACCUUGAAGUUGAUUUUUGAAAAUUGGUACCCUUAAAC
rnacentral:lncRNA from 1 species